CCUACGUGGGGCAGCAGUGGGGAAUAUUGGACAAUGGGCGAAAGCCUGAUCCAGCCAUGCCGCGUGUGUGAAGAAGGCCUUCGGGUUGUAAAGCACUUUCAGUGGGGAAGAAAGCCUUGGGGCUAAUACCCUCGAGGAAGGACAUCACCCACAGAAGAAGCACCGGCUAACUCCGUGCCAGCAGCCGCGGUAAUACGGAGGGUGCGAGCGUUAAUCGGAAUUACUGGGCGUAAAGCGCGCGUAGGCGGUCUGAUAAGCCGGUUGUGAAAGCCCCGGGCUCAACCUGGGAACGGCAUCCGGAACUGUCAGGCUAGAGUGCAGGAGAGGAAGGUAGAAUUCCCGGUGUAGCAGUGAAAUGCGUAGAGAUCGGGAGGAAUACCAGUGGCGAAGGCGGCCUUCUGGACUGACACUGACGCUGAGGUGCGAAAGCGUGGGUAGCAAACAGGAUUAGAUACCCCAGUAGUC
rnacentral:rRNA from 1 species